ensembl:lncRNA
AAAUCUGAGCAUUACAGCCACUUAAUGCAAAGUAGACCUUGAUGCUAACAGGAUUUUUUGGGAAAUGGAGAAGACUUUUGCUCUUCUGGAGUUGAAAUUGUGCAAGUAGAUAUAGUGUAAACCAGAUAAGUUUGAAAUGAAAUCAUCGUUUACUAUCAAUGAAUCCCCAAAGCCAUUCUAAAGACAUUAUCUGCACCAUUUCCAAUAAAAAUGCAACUUUUUUAACAUCAGCAGCUCUUAUACUAGCUGUUAUUAGCAUACAGAGUGUACUUGGUCUCUCAUGGGGGAAAAGAAACCCCUCUGGUAUUCAUUUAAAUUUAAGUGAUGUGUUUUAUGUUCUGGUUAAACUGAAAAAGAAAAGUUUCAGUGGUGAAGCCUGUAUGGUUGCACGAACAAAAAGAAAAGAACGUCACCUACCUACAGAAAAUGACAAAAAAAUAAUAUCAACAAUAAACACAAGAGAUGCGAAAGAUGACAAAUAAGUGAACUCAGGGAAAUGCAGAGUAAAAACAGAAAAAAGAAAGACACAACAAGGAGGACUUAGCACCAGAGAUGGAGACAAAAGUAAACACAGUCCUGGUGGAUUACAACUUCAUCUCUUGGAUGGGAGAGAAAAGCUGAUUUCUCUUACAGAUACAGAGGAAAAAAAACAUUCCACUCAGUCUCAACACUUCUCACAAUGAUUGUCCAAACAAAAACGCAAGGAAUAGAUCCACAUAACCUACGUGCUCAGCCUUAUACAAUAAAAACAUCUGAAAUAAUAAUCUGAGGAACAAUAAAACUUUAUGUUAAAUCUCUGAUCUCAUAAACUAUAAAAUACACAGGUUCUAAAAAAUAAAGAUAAUUCUAGCAUCUGUUUUUAAAAUUUAAUUCCCGCUCUGUUGAAAUGAAAACGGAUGACAUUCUGUUAAUCUGUCGGGAACAGGACACCGAACCUCUUUGUAGCAUAUAUUUUCUCGAUAAAUUUCAGUUGGGAGUAGCUUAUAAAGUCUUCUGUUAAUCGCAGUUAUUGCACAUUAACUGUACAUGCCGCCUGUAAAUCAAUAAUCUCUUUAAAUGGCACCGAUUUGGACGGAGAAGCUGCCGUACAGUGCAUAAGACCCGGUUUGCUUUCCAAUGACUUACGUUUGCACAUAAACUGUGUUUGUGUGCGUUGGAUCGUGAAUUUAGUGGUUAAAAACUGAAGAAUGUGUGUUAUUGCUAAACCUACAGAAUACAAAAUCCUCUUCUUGCUACAAUAUAGAAGGUAAAAAAGAGUUCACGUUUAUCCAAAACAGGACAAGUCUGACACAUAAAAGAAACCGAUGGUCAUUCAUACGGAGACACAAGCACCAGUUGAAGAAUCAAUAGAAACACCACUGUACAAAUGAUAUCUAGGGCAAAAAUGGCAAAAAGGUUCCACUGCAUAAUGGAUGGAAGCAAUCAAAAUGGAGGGACUGUAAACGAAACGACAAACACAAGAAAGGGAGCGUCGGUAAAAGUCACAGGGGAGGAGAACUUAGAAAAGGGCAUACAAAGUUAAACUGGACGACUUUCAGUGUUAGCCUCCCUCAUACUUGUUUUUCGAAGCACCAAUUUCGGGACAAACGCUCUCUUUGUUUUUGCUCAGUAAUCGGCGGUACACUGGAAGGGAGAGAGAGUAAGUUAAAGAGUCUUGUACUUGUUGGUUUUCCUCCGUGACGGGGAGAUUCCUUUGGGAUCCUCAACACAAACAGAUGGUCUUACAGAUCCACCGUAUUCGCUCUCCUUUACUUCUUCUUCUUUUGGAACAACCUGCGGGUCAUUAAAACAAGAAAAACAAGCUGAGAGCAAUGCCUUUGUGCUAGACCACAGUUCAGUCCAAGAAACAGAGCUGCACUGAAGUUGAUUCUGUAUUGAUAGAUGCUUUUAUUAGUCAAUUAAAACCCUCAGAACCCCAAAACUCCCUUGAAAGGCAUGUUGUUGGGCAAAAAAAGUCACUAAAAUCACACCUGUUAUCAGCCAGAAAUUGUAAAAACAGAAAAAUUUUAGGAUUUUAAUCUUUCCUAUGGUCCUUGAACUACUCAUUACCGGUUAUGUGACGAUCGGCGUACACUUGUCUGUCAGCAACAUUACUAUCUCGCAACGAUCCAGAAAUCUUUAACAAAUCACCACAUUUGUCCAAAUUUAUUUGUCCAGAAGUUGCUCAAACAAUCCUCUUCUACUGUUCGCAAUCAGUCCAAAAUGAGUUAAACAUCUAGGAAGGCUUAGCUGGGUUCCAAAAAUGACUGAAAACAAUAAAAACAAGUCCAAAAUGACUCAAAUUUGACCUCAGAAAAUAAGCGUGUUCUCAAAAGGUUGUUAAAAUUUGUCAAAAAUGACCCAAAAUAUGUGCAAAAUGACUAAAUAUUACUCAAAUUUGUCCAGAACUUGCUAAAAACAAAUCUUCCUUAACUGUUCAAAAUCUGUCCAAAAUGAGUUAAUUGUCCAGGACGGCUGAGAAGUUCUGCAGUUCUGCACAGCAUUUUACAGUCGAGGAAGCUCUCUUUGCCUGAAACACCUCCAUUAAAUUCAGAGUGGUUGUGGUGCCUUUAAAUGGGGUCGUGUUUGCUGAGUCCACAUGAACGCCCCCCUCUGGUGCUAAUCACAACCUAGUAAGUGGAAGCUGCGACUUUACCAGCUGUGAGGCGUUUGCUGGUGUUUUCAGGAAUGGUGGAGGCCACAGAAGUUUAAUUAUCAGUGCAUGGUGAGUUAAAAUAUUGCAGUUUUAGUCUUAUAGAUGUUUUCUUUUUAAUUUGAUCAUUUCUGAGGAAAACAUUGAUUUCCAGAGUCCUCAUCUUGUCAUUUUGCAUUUCCUACAUUGCCGCUUGUUUGGGAGAGCAGAACUGAGUACAACCAUUUAAAUCCUAUUUUACAUAUGUUUAAUAUGCUUGUAGAAAUAUAUAUUCACAAAUGCUAAGGGGUAAUGAUAAGACAUAUCAGAAGAUUGCAAUGGGAAAUGCACAGAAGCCUGAAUUUUCACAUGGUCACAAGCUGACUUGCCAAAAAGAAAAAGGGACAUGAACAAACAUAGUAUUGUAGGAUUGUAGGCAACCACACAAAGGCUGACAGGAUAAGAGAGUCAGAUGCAGUAGCUUGCUUCCCUCAGACUGAUAAGGGAGAUUCUGGGAUGCAUGAUGGGCAGAUUAGGAACUGUAUUUGUGAAAACACAAGACUUCUACGCCUCCGUUGCCCUCGAGACCAGCUCUGCUUUUUGUGUUCUCUGAGUGAGCGUACAAUAAAGCUACAAGUGGACUGAAGUCGAGUGAAUGUGGUAGUCAGAAAAUGCCCCACAGCGUGUUAAAUAAAUAAAAUGAGCCAUUCCCUAGAUGCAGUGUACAUGACUUCCCAUGUCGCAAUCCUGAGUUCAUGAGUUGAAAGAACCACGUACACACUUAUAAUAGAUGAAUCCCCCUUAAGGAAGAAGGAGCAGAGGCAGUAUUUCUUAUAUGGGUCAAUAUAUAACUGUGGGACUUUUAUAACAUAGUAGACAGGUAUCAUAUUUUUGCUGUUUUCAGGCCUAAAAUCAACAUGGCUGCCUAUAACCAAACACCACAUGGCAUUUUUACACAAAGAUUCUUCUAAAUAUUAUAUAUACAAUUGAGUAAAUUUGAAAUUGAAAGUUAUUUCUAAAGAUAUUGUAGUAAACCUGUUGACAUGCCAUAAAUCCACACUUGACUCACACACUACUUUAUAUUAAAUAACUCAGAAAGCCUUGGAGUCUUGCCAGUCUUUUCUUCAGGAGGAAAUGACAUCAUGUGGAGCAGGUCAUGUGAUCUGGAAUUAACACACUUCCUUCAGAG